rnacentral:rRNA from 1 species
CUGGAUAGCUAUGUUCAGAAAGGAGAAGCGCUGAAGGCAUCUAAGCGCGAAGCCGCUCCCAAGACGCAUUCUCCCAUCUCCAUGUGAGAUCAAGAUCCCAGGAAGAAGACCUGGUAGAUAGACUGCAGGUGGACGCCUGGUAACAGGCGCAGCCAAGCAGGCCUAAUGAUCGUACGGCUUGUCUUC